UUACAACCAUAUAAAAUGUUUACAAUUACCUAUGGGUCGAAUUAUGCGAGCGUCGAACAGCAGGGCUACCGCUAUAUUUAGAGCGACCCUGAGCACCAGCGACCGCGAUCACCGCUACACCUGCUAUUUGUAAUAAGCCUUUUGAGACUCGUAUUGUUGAAUCAUGUUGCUCAAGGAAGUUCAUCCCUAUGAUACCUUUAAGAUCAUCAAUCUCAGCAAUAGUGAGUUCAUGACAAAAACAAUCCCAUCAAUACUAAAUUGUACAUCAGCUUUUCCUAAAAUUUUCAACGCAUUUCCAUCUGCAGCUGUGAGAAUGUCAUCAGAGUCACUCAAACUGGGUCUAUUUUCCAGCAUCAUAAAAACUUUCUUUGACAUAAUACUUGCAACUGAACCUGUAUAUGCUGGAAAUUUAUUAACAUAUAUUGUUCCCCAUAGAACAUUUUACAAGUAGACAGGAUUUCCUCAGUACAUUUAUUUGUAUAUUGUUGUCCUCUUUUUCAUUACAGCCAGGGGUCACACCUAGGGGCACUUAGAGUAACCCUCUCCAGUUUUCCUGAUUUGAAAGAGUCAUGUUUGUGUUUGUAAGAGGGACAUUUGUCAGUCUGUCCGGACAGUAUUUUGCAAUGUGUCCUUCCUUAUGAUAAUACAUGUAAUAGCAUUCUGUUGACGCAGGGUUUCUAGGGCGCUUCUUACCUCUUUUAUUAGAUCCGAGUUUAGAGAGUUUUUCUACGCAAUUUCGCAUCAACCUCAUUAUUUCUGCCAUAUCUUUAUGAGGUUCUUGCUUUGGGGUUUCUUUUUCACUUUUGUUUAAAUUGUUACUGUAUUUAUAGUAUCAGAUACAUAGACGGAUUUGGGGACGGACAAUUGUGGUCCUCUUGCUGCCCCAAACUCAAUAGCUAGGAAGAUAGCUGCUUCUAGGGUUUUGGGAUGAUGGAAAAUUACAUGGUCAUGAAUAGCAGAGUUGCCUAUACCAUUUAUGAACUGCUCGAGGACGUUAAUUUCCCUGUCAUCAUAUGUUAUGUUUGGAAUGCUAGACAAUAUAGUCUCCUGAGCGCAUAUCCAUAACCUGAUGGAUUUUCACCAUGUUUGCGUUUACGAGAUCUAAAUUCACACCUGUGUGCAGUAACCAACUCGAGAGGAUUGAAACGCUUAGUCAAAAUAGACCGUAAACUGUCAUAAUCAGCUCUCUGUGUAGUUGUUAAGUCUUCUAACAAUUUCUGAGCCUCACCCCCUUAGGCACAUAACUAGCUGUUGGGCUUUCUCUUGAUAUGACCACUUGUUCCAAUCGGAGACUUGUUCAAAAUGGAUUAAAAAUUCCUUCAGGUCAACAGAUGUACCAUUGAACUUAUCCGGUUCUUUCUCUUUCCGAACAGGGUGGUUUAAAACUUGAACAUGUCUUGUACUAACCAAUCUUUCUGUAGGUAUCAUAUUGUUCGAGUCUAACGGACUUGUUACCUGCAGUGAUUCCCAUCCUGAUCCAGAUUUAUAAAACAUUUCUGAGCGGGCAGAUGUGCCCUUUCAGUGUCAGAUAGAGAGUUCUGAUUGGGCAGAUGUGCCCUUCCAGGGUCAGAUAUAACAAUUUUUUUAUUGAGCAAUUGUGCCCUUCCUGUGUUAAAUAUAUCAGGAUUCUGAGCGAACAAUUAUGUCCUUCCUGAAUUAGAAUUGCAGGAAUCUUGUGCGGACAAUUGUGUCCUUCUUGAUGUAGAAUGUAAAUCAUACCUGUUCAGUUGAGCUGUCAAUUCUACCUCUGAUAUUUCCAAUUCUUUAAUUCUCCUUCUUAAUUCCUCAUGUUCUGUUUUUAAGUUUCCACAAAGUGGGGAGGUCGAUGUACUUGCAGAAGGAUGACAAUGGCUAGGAUGAGCUGGUGUUGCUACAUCCAUUUGGUAACCACAGUGAGAGGGAUGAGUCAUGCUGUGAUCAUAUGAGGAACCAUACCAGGAAGUGCACAUUUCUUCCUCAUGGCCACAUGGAAGGUGACUGUUAAAACUGGUUUCUGGAUAAUAACUCAAGUACUUUGUAUUCUAUUCAAACCAAGUUUGGACAUAUGGAUACGUACAAAAAAGGGAAGAUGCCUAUCAAUUUGGGGUUCAGAAGGUCAAAGAUCAAGGUCACAGUGUAUGGAAAUUAGAAAAUGCUGAUCCGGGGGCAUAUGUGUUACAGAUUCUUUAAUUUUAUAUGAAUUAGUAUUGUAUAUAUAUGCAUAGAUUAUUCAUGUUUUCUGACUAUUUAUCAUGUAAUGAAAUAAAUAUAUAGAAUUUGUAAAUAUGAAUUGAAGAAUACAAAUUUUAUAACAAAUCA